GAGAGUGUACUGAAAAGUUACAAUAGAACACUUGUACAUACUAACCUUGUCCGAGAGCAAAAUCACUUGACUUAACUUCAUGUGAAAAUCUUAUGAACAUAUCAUUGAUACUCUGGACUGCACAAUCUUAAUAUUGUUAGUACAUUCAAUUAAAAAAAUUCAAUACAAUAUUACAGAGUUGUACAGAAACAACAUAUACCUGCUGAAAUUAGGACUCAACAGUCAGUCAACACCACAUCAAGUUAGUCAAAAAAUCAAAAAAUGUUGUUUAGUCCUAGGUUCUGAUUUCGUCCUUUAUUUGACAAUGCAGAAGUUUUUUGUUCUAAAUUCAGUUUUAAGAAGACGCUAUUUACAACUGUAUUGACCGACCUUGAUGGUAUUGUAUUGAAAGAUAUCACAACUCAACUUUUGUAACUUAUAUCCUUAUCAAAACUAGUCUGGUUAUUAUCUCACUGUUGUCAACGAUAUCCGAUCAUGCACAUACUCGUCAUACGUUAGAAGAAGAACGUAUCACAUAUACGUGUAAGAUAUAUUUGUUAUGAUACAAGAUACCAGAGUUUUUAUUUAACGUCGCACAAUUGAACAAUUAACAUUAGCACUGUAGCGCUGUUCUUGCGACAAGCUAGACAUAUUACAUGUGCUUAUCAAAUAUCCUACACAAAGGUGCCUCAAUCCGUCUGAACCAAUCAAAACGAGGCAGACGGCAAGCAGGAGCUUGUAUUACAUAUAUUAGACGGACGCAGUCGUUGGUUAACAUCUAACUUCCUGGUUAAUACACUGAAACUGGACAAGUGGCAGAUGUUGAAAAUACGGUUGUUACAGAUUCAUAAAAGAACCACAAUUCCAACGACAGAAUGAAUCACCAAGUGGCGUCGUCCAAAAUAGGGACAUCCAAUCUUCGGAUGCCUUACCUGCCGACAUCCGAAGAGAAGCCCAACCUGGUGGCGGCGGGCAUGUACAUGUAGCACCGAGAUAUGUGGUCCACAUCAGAUCACUUCAGACCUGGCUGUUACCUCACAAACGAGCUAUAGGCGGUCGUCAUAGGAUGACGAUAUCUACAAAGCAGGAUAGUCACCCUGUGAACAGAAGACGGUAGUUCAAUGUCAAGAAAUGAAGAGAACAAGCAAUCCUGAGAAAACUUAUUACGGCCAUGUUUUUACCUACAUCAAAUUCCUUGUUCUUCUUAACUGUUACUGUGAGAAAAAUCUACUGAUAAACAACGAAUACAAGGACAAUUAUCCACUGCUCUUUACGACUAUUCCUAGUGGGUCAGACAACAUAUUUAUAUUUGCUUGAUUUAGUGCUAUAUAUCAUCACAUAAACUAGCAACUUUGUAUAAUCUACUGAUAAACAACGAACACAAGGACAAUUAUCCACUGCUCUUAACGAUUAUUCCUAGUGGGUCAGACAACAUAUUUCUAUUUGCUUAAUUUAAUGCUAUAUAUCAAUAUAUAAACUUGCAACUUUAUAUUUGAUACAAAUGCUUUAUACAUAAAAAUAUGAAGUAGUCAAUUUAAAAAAAAAAGAUUUUGAUGUGGUACAAUUCGAAGACCUUAUGUAACAGCAGCCAUCCUGAUCAAUUAUUGUUCGUAGAUCUGGAAACAAUAUGUAUUGAUACAGAGUAUUAGCUAAUACUGAUAAAUCAUAAGCAUAGAUACUAUAUAUAACUACUGAUACACAAUAAUCAAAAAUGCUUAUCACAAACAAAAAACAUGUCUAAUUUACUGCCAUAGCCACCAUCUAACUAUCGGACAAAGGGAGAUAAUUACGAAUUUUAGCUUUCUUACCAAAUUUAGACUUACAGUGUGUAAGGAAAUAUUUCACACUGGUGGAGUUAGAAUUAACUAGAAAUACCUACAUUAAAGUUUGACAAAAAUAUUUAAACAAAAAUUCCCUUAUUAAGACUAUUUUUUUGUAAUUUCAGUAUUUUAUUAGUCAAUUAUUCAUCGCAUUGCCCUAUAGAAGUUACAUUAUCUUACUCAGUUCAAUCUUAUUCAACUUUCUACGUAAUGACCUAAUAGUUAAAGUGAGAAGAACUAUUAUAACUAAAGUAUAUUGUGAGGGCUGAUUGGUAUUAACAUUAUUGUAUAACAAGUUGGCACCUAUUCCCGAUAAAAGCCCCAUUAAUGUAUACAUAAAUGUAGGUGCCACUGUUCUCAUUUGCAUUUCCUCUUUUACCUUCUAAUACUUAUAUAAAACCCUAUCUGAGUCACAGUUCUAUUUUACUUUUUAGUACUUGUAUUAGUACUUACCAGAGUGAUAGUUGUAUUAAACUCGUUGGUACAAUAUAAGUUCCUGUCAGAGUCAU